rnacentral:misc_RNA from 1 species
CUUGGGGAAAAGCCUCGAAACUGUAAGCUUUGUAAACUGGGACUUAGGCCAAAUUGAUCUGGGACGCAAUGUCUGACGAAAUACUUUCAGUGGAUGAAGGGUCGUCAGUUGACUUGCCAUCAGGUAACGAAUCCAUCAACGGACCAAUGGAUAGCAGGUCAUUCCACACCGGAUCAUCGGUGGACAGCUCCGGAUAUGGUUCUGUGGGUGGAAGUGAGUCAGUGAGCUCGUCACCCAUCUUAUUUAAACUCCUGGACGAGACGGAUGGCCCGGAGACAGUUGACAGCCCUCAACAGAAGUGUGGGGUGUUUGGGGCGUCCCUGUCAACGCGGUCAAAGGAUGGUGGUCAUUUUCUUCAUCAGCUGCACAAGGAUGAUCGAGACCAAUGGUCCAAAAUUCGAGAUGGUGAUAAAGUGCACGAUGGGGAUGAGCUCCAGUAUAUCAACCAGAUGAACAUGACGAGGUGGAGCCACCAGGAAGUCUUAGAGACCAUACGCCACCUGAAGAAUGACAUCACAUUUACAUUUUUCCGUGAGAAGAAGGAGUUUGAAGAAGAUCACAUUGAACGAACAGAAGACCUUUUCAUCGAGAUAACCUUCAAUAUCAGCGACCUUGACUCUGAUGGCAAGGGUAUUUCUAUAGGAAAUGUGGCCUCUCACAUCAAAGGAGUCAUGAUUAAAGUCGUCCAGAAUAUUUCGUAUAAAAGCUCGCUGAAUGUUGUGUCAUUUUCUGGGUCGACGGAAGUGAAAAUUGGUCAUGGUGCAAUGACACAACGCUAUCUCCGUGCCAAACAAGAUGAAGUUGACAUGGAGCGAAGAACUUCAGACCAGAAACCUUACUGUUUCCAGAUGCACAGCUACGUUGUUCAGGACAGGGAAGAUGCCGACCCUAGAAGUCUGGAACGUAUGGUGGCAUUUCAAAGCUGCCUAAACAAUAAGUUCCUGAUGUGCCAGAAGAGCUCAAAGAAACUCACACUACUGGAGAUUCAUAUUGAUGACAACCAACUCCAAGUGAAGGCUGCGAACAGUCCGUGUUUGUUUCUCAUGACGGAGAACGGUAGCGAAGACUUCUACCUGGAAUCUGUUGCCUAUGAAGGACACUUCCUUGGCUUCGAUGAGGUUGACCGUCUCGAGCUGACACAUCUGAAGAAUUCUCCAGCUUCUCCAAAGUUUCAAGAGACUGACGUUAUUCGUCGGAACUACACCUUUCAUAUUCACUAAAACAACCAACUUGAGAUGCAAAAUUGUCAUUUGGCCUGCAUCUGAUGCGUAAAGCUGACAUGCGAUAGCCUGACAGCACAGCCAGCCCUACAUGAUUGGAUUAUCACACAAUGUGGAUAAAAGAGGGUUUGUUUUGUGAUCACAUGUAAGAAUACAUGUGCUAGAUGAUUGUUAAUUUGUGAAGAGGUUAUUUCUUGUUUUGUUUCAUAUAUGAAACGUCCAAAUGUCUGGGCUUUAAAUAAUGCGGCUAAAGGGGUCUGCAGCAUCCCCAUGUGUCUAAAGUCCAAUGUACUUACAGUUUAAAACAACAUGAUUUGGUCUGAUGGUCAGGAUGUGGUAUAAAACUUAUUUUACCCAUAAUAACUUGUCCAUUUACCAAAGUGUAGGCAAUCUGGCAAAUGGAUAAAAAUGGAAUAUAAUGUUAUUUUUUAUGUUGUCCUAUUCAUCUAUCAUUUUAGUUUUUGGUACAAAAUGAUCAGUCAAAUCAUAUCACAGAAAUUCUCAACUGGUGAAUGGCAGUAUGAAUUAUUUAAAUUCACAAUAUGAAAUUCAUAUCUUUGUGUCAUGUUCACAUUCAAAUUCACAGACAAGUCACCAAGGUCACAGUUCACAAACUUUUUUGCUAAUUUAAUCAAUUGUGCAUCAGUGUCUUGGAACUGUAAUAUGUAUUAAACACUGAGGAUGAGGCAAGUUAGCAAUGGGUGAUUAAUAUGUGGACAGUCAGUUAAUUAGCAGUAUUCACAGACAGAAUUUACAUUUGUUGUACAUAUUUCAGACAUUUAUUUUCAUAUUUUGACCAUCUGUUAUAAUAAUUGUUGCUGUUGUGGAUAGUCAUGACAUAUUUUCUACUAACAAGGUCACAGUGACAUUUAAAGUAAACCACAGUAUCCAAAGGAUAAAAAGUCAUAGUGACAAGUAGGUCAUGGUGACAGGAGUGUAAAAGGUCACAGUGACAUUAAGGAUAAAAGGUCACAGUGACAUUUGAAAGUAGGCCAUGGUGACAGAAGGAUAAAGGUCACAGUGACAUUUGAAAGUAGGCCAUGGUGACAGAAGGAUAAAGGUCGCAGUGACAUUAAGGAUAAAAGGUCACAGUGACAUUUCUUGGAAAUGGCAUGUGAAUCGUACUUACAUAGAUGAAAUAAAUCACCUGCUGAUCCCUCCUCCCACCUACAUGUCAUACCUACGUAACCACACAGCCUCAGCAUCCUAUGACGGCCUCGGGAUCAGCCAUUUGAUGUUCUGGAGCGGCCUGGGAAUUAGUAAGGAGAUUGAAUAUGUGUCAGCUGCAUCUGAAAAAACAGACAUUGUUUUAAUUAAAACUAUGGGUCUAACUAUAUUUAUAUUCGUUUUAAAAUAAUCUUGCAACAAUGUAUUUUUGUGCCAGGAAGAUUGUUGGUGUUUUUUUCUGCUGUCUGAAGCAUCUUUAUCUUUUUCAAAUAUUUUCUGGAACAAUUUAUAUAUUUCAAUAAAAUCCCAGGUGCUGAAACCACACCCAUUUGAGUAAGGGAUAAUUUCCUUUUCAUCAUUUAAAUUCAGUAAAAUAAGAACAAAAUUGUGCUGUAACUUUCAGUGUGGUCAGUGUAAAACAAUUAAAUACUUUUUGACUAUUUCCUUUCCGUAUUUUCCAUGUAUAUAGUUUUAAAAAAAUGUAUCGUUUUCACAUUUCAUUUGAUGCCAUGUAUUGUUUAUUGUUGGUAGACGUGUUCAUAGAUAUGUUGUGAUGUAAUAAUCAACUUGGGAUACCGAGAUCUCUGUGAUUUGAUCUCUUGACAUAGACAUUCGGUUUGGUAUAUCACAGCAGUAUUCCUAUAAAGCUUUGAGAAGCAGAUAUGAUUUACUAUUGUGACUGUUGAAUAGGCAUUGUGAGCAAUAGAGUUACCAGUGUGUAGACCUACUCCUGACUGACUCCCACCUGGGUCUAGAUCUUGAAAACAUUGAAGGUUUCUGUUAAGCAAAUCGAUCAAAAAUGACCAAAAUCAUCAAAACAAAAAUAGUAUUUUUUUAUCAAUCCACACCACACAGCCAAUUUCUGGUGUCGCCUGUCAUGAUAUUGCAGGAAUAUUGCUAAAAGCGGCGUAAAACCGUACACACUUACUCAAAAGGUAACAAAAUGCAUCUGAGAAAUUUUAACUCACCUGAUAACGUAAAACCGUACACACUUACUCAAAAGGUAACAAAAUACAUCUGAGAAAUUUUAGCUCACCUGAUAAUGUAAAACCAUACACACUUACUCAAAAGGUAACAAAAUGCAUCUGAGAAAUUUUAACUCACCUGAUAACGUAAAACCAUACACACUUACUCAAAAGGUAACAAAAUACAUCUGAGAAAUUUUAGCUCACCUGAUAAUGUAAAACCAUACACACUUACUCAAAAGGUAACAAAAUGCAUCUGAGAAAUUUUAGCUCACCUGAUAAUGUAAAACCAUACACACUUACUCAAAAGGUAACAAAAUGCAUCUGAGAAACUUUAGCUCACCUGAUAAUGUAAAACCAUACACACUUACUCAAAAGGUAACAAAAUGCAUCUGAGAAAUUUUAGCUCACCUGAUAAUGUAAAACCAUACACACUUACUCAAAGGGUAACAAAAUGCAUCUGAGAAAUUUUAGCUCACCUGAUAAUGUAAAACCAUACACACUUACUCAAAAGGUAACAAAAU